rnacentral:rRNA from 3 species
UCUGGUGGCGAUAGCGAAGAGGUCACACCCGUUCCCAUACCGAACACGGAAGUUAAGCUCUUUAGCGCCAAUGGUAGUCGGGACUUUGUCCCCGUGAGAGUAGGACGCUGCCAGGC